rnacentral:rRNA from 1 species
GACGAACGCUGGCGGCGUGCUUAACACAUGCAAGUCGAACGGAAAGGCCCUGCUUUUGUGGGGUGCUCGAGUGGCGAACGGGUGAGUAACACGUGAGUAACCUGCCCUUGACUUUGGGAUAACUUCAGGAAACUGGGGCUAAUACCGGAUAGGAGCUCCUGCUGCAUGGUGGGGGUUGGAAAGUUUCGGCGGUUGGGGAUGGACUCGCGGCUUAUCAGCUUGUUGGUGGGGUAGUGGCUUACCAAGGCUUUGACGGGUAGCCGGCCUGAGAGGGUGACCGGCCACAUUGGGACUGAGAUACGGCCCAGACUCCUACGGGGGGCAGCAGUGGGGAAUAUUGCACAAUGGGCGGAAGCCUGAUGCAGCAACGCCGCGUGCGGGAUGACGGCCUUCGGGUUGUAAACCGCUUUCGCCUGUGACGAAGCGUGAGUGACGGUAAUGGGUAAAGAAGCACCGGCUAACUACGUGCCAGCAGCCGCGGUGAUACGUAGGGUGCGAGCGUUGUCCGGAUUUAUUGGGCGUAAAGGGCUCGUAGGUGGUUGAUCGCGUCGGAAGUGUAAUCUUGGGGCUUAACCCUGAGCGUGCUUUCGAUACGGGUUGACUUGAGGAAGGUAGGGGAGAAUGGAAUUCCUGGUGGAGCGGUGGAAUGCGCAGAUAUCAGGGGGAACACCAGUGGCGAAGGCGGUUCUCUGGGCCUUUCCUGACGCUGAGGAGCGAAAGCGUGGGGAGCGAACAGGCUUAGAUACCCUGGUAGUCCACGCUGUAAACGGUGGGUACUAGGUGUGGGGUCCAUUCCACGGGUUCCGUGCCGUAGCUAACGCUUUAAGUACCCCGCCUGGGGAGUACGGCCGCAAGGCUAAAACUCAAAGGAAUUGACGGGGCCCCGCACAAGCGGCGGAGCAUGCGGAUUAAUUCGAUGCAACGCGUAGAACCUUACCUGGGUUUGACAUGGAUCGGGAGUGCUCAGAGAUGGGUGUGCCUCUUUUGGGGUCGGUUCACAGGUGGUGCAUGGCUGUCGUCAGCUCGUGUCGUGAGAUGUUGGGUUAAGUCCCGCAACGAGCGCAACCCUUGUUCACUGUUGCCAGCACGUUAUGGUGGGGACUCAGUGGAGACCGCCGGGGUCAACUCGGAGGAAGGUGGGGAUGACGUCAAGUCAUCAUGCCCCUUAUGUCCAGGGCUUCACGCAUGCUACAAUGGCUGGUACAGAGAGUGGCGAGCCUGUGAGGGUGAGCGAAUCUCGGAAAGCCGGUCUCAGUUCGGAUUGGGGUCUGCAACUCGACCUCAUGAGGUCGGAGUCGCUAGUAAUCGCAGAUCAGCAACGCUGCGGUGAAUACGUUCCCGGGGCU